GGGGAAUUUUGGACAAUGGGGGCAACCCUGAUCCAGCCAUGCCGCGUGAGUGAAGAAGGCCUUCGGGUUGUAAAGCUCUUUCAGCCGGGAAGAAAACGCAUGGGUUAAUACCCUGUGUGGAUGACGGUACCGGAAUAAGAAGCACCGGCUAACUACGUGCCAGCAGCCGCGGUAAUACGUAGGGUGCGAGCGUUAAUCGGAAUUACUGGGCGUAAAGCGUGCGCAGGCGGUUUGUUAAGAUAGGCGUGAAAUCCCCGGGCUCAACCUGGGAACUGCGUUUAUGACUGGCAGGCUAGAGUAUGGCAGAGGGGGGUGGAAUUCCACGUGUAGCAGUGAAAUGCGUAGAGAUGUGGAGGAACACCGAUGGCGAAGGCAGCCCCCUGGGCCAAUACUGACGCUCAUGCACGAAAGCGUGGGUAGCAAAC
rnacentral:rRNA from 1 species